AUUCACCUCCACCACCUCCCCACUCGCCACCCCCGCCUCCACCUAUCUAUCCAUACGCAUCACCGCCACCGCCACCCGUGCAUUCCCCACCACCACCUGUCCAUUCUCCACCACCUCCAUGCAUAGAACCGCCUCCUCCUUCUCCACCACCCCCAUCACCACCUCCAUGCAUAGAACCGCCUCCUCCUCCUUCUCCACCACCAUGUGUAGAAUAUUCGCCACCUCCACCAUCACCACACUCACCACCGCCACCACCAGUUCAUUACUUGCCUCCACCAUCACCAUCACCCCCACCACCACCUGUGUAUGCUUCUCCGCCACCUCCACCAUCUCUGCCUCCCCCAGUUUACUACCAUUCUCCGCCCCCACCCUCACCACCUCCUCCAACCCCAUGUGAAAAUCCUCCACCUACUCCAUCACCACCGCCCCCAAUCAUUUAUGAGAGCCCACCACCUCCAACCCCUGUAUAUGAGGGGCCAUUGCCACCAAUCUUUGGAGUUUCAUACGCUUCUCCACCGCCACCACCCUUCUAUUGAUUCUUUUGAGAAUUUUCCUCCUCUUGACAUUUCCUCAAAGAAACAAAAUUUACAAUUAUAUUAGUGGUCAUGGC
rnacentral:lncRNA from 1 species